UAAAGCCACAGCAGUGAUUUAACCAGUUUUUUAAACGUCUGAGUGUUUUCUAUCCACACAGACUAAGCAAAUGCAUAUACUAUAUUCCUGGCAUGAGUAGCAGGGCGCUGAAAUGUUGAGCGAUUUUUAACAGAAUGUUCAAAAAAGUAGAGGGUCGACUGAAGAGGUUAAAAUAUUUAAAAUAUGGACACUUACCACGCUGCACCUUGGUCCUCCUCUCUAUCUCCAGACGACAACCGUUACAGAGCAGGUGUUCAUGAUGUUUUGUACACUCAGUGUAUAAUGACGAGAUACUAAUGUCUCCACCCUAACAGUGGGAGUCUUUUUAUAGGUGCACCAUCGAGAUCAUCCUGUCGGGCUGUAUCAUCACCACAACUGCACUGCCCUCAACCACAACGCUCUCCAGAGGGUAGUGAGGUUUGCACUACGCAUCACCGGUGGCAAACUACCUGCCUUCCAGGACACCUACAGCACCCGAUGUCACAAGAAGGCAAAAAGAUCAUCAAGGACAACAACCACCCGAGCCACGACCUGUUCACCCCGCUAUCAUUCAGGACCAAGAAACUUAAAAACAGCUUCUAUCUCAAGGCCAUCUGACUGUUAAACAGCCAUCACCACAUUAGUCAUCUCAUAUGUAUUUUAAAUUUAAAAUUAAUUUUGCCUAUUCCUCACAAGUCCUCGACUGGCAGCUUCAAUAAUUGUACCCGCAAAAUACCAGUCUCAACAUCCUAUUUAAAAAGCUGCCAGUUGAGGACUUGUGAGGUAUCUGUUUCUCAAACUAGACACUCUAAUGCACUGGGGUCUCCUACUCCUGCCUGCACACCACCUGUCAUAUGGCCUUCUCUGGACCAACUGCCUCCCCCGUCUCCCCUGGUCACACCACCAUAGCAUCCUCGUCUGGUGUCCCUGCCCCUUGCAAUUUGAAUACAGCCACCUCCACAGUCUAUAGCAACAGCCCUCAAGGCAUCCACCGCCAAAACUUCUGCAGCUUCCUCCAGAGCACAGAAAAGGAAGAGAAAAGCUCCACCGGCCACCUCACGCUACCCAUGGCAGCACUCUCAG